AUUGAACGCUGGCGGCAUGCCUUACACAUGCAAGUCGAACGGCAGCGCGGGGCAACCUGGCGGCGAGUGGCGAACGGGUGAGUAAUAUAUCGGAACAUACCCUAGAGUGGGGGAUAACGUAGCGAAAGUUACGCUAAUACCGCAUACGCACUAAGGUGGAAAGUGGGGGAUCUUCGGACCUCAUGCUCAUGGAGUGGCCGAUAUCUGAUUAGCUAGUUGGUGAGGUAAAGGCUCACCAAGGCGACGAUCAGUAGCUGGUUUGAGAGAACGACCAGCCACACUGGAACUGAGACACGGUCCAGACUCCUACGGGAGGCAGCAGUGGGGAAUUUUGGACAAUGGGGGGCAACCCUGAUCCAGCAAUGCCGCGUGAGUGAAGAA
rnacentral:rRNA from 1 species